UUCCGCUAAGUGGCAGCCCUAUUCCGAGCGUUCCGUGCUGGGCCGGCGGCCAGCGAGCGGCGCGGCUGAUACCUCUCCGGCGAUUGUCCGGCCAGCCGUGCUCAAUCCCCAACUGGAUUUGGGUCCCUAGGUAUGAGGAUUUGUACCCUUCAUAUUUUCUGCUUUGCCCCAUUAUCCUUUGUCCCAAUGGCUCAUCUAGUGGUCUCCUUUUCUCUAGAUUGGGCUAGAUUUGCAAAGCAAACAGAGGAGGCGAGUAGCUCGUGGCUCAUUGGGUUGUCUCCUCCAAGUUCAGCACAUCUAAAAAGGAAAUAGCAGAGGGGACGAGGUAGUGGCAUCUUGCCAGCAACUGCUUAUAUUCCUAGAGUUUACUGUCCAGAUUUUUGUCUUGAAGAAAUUGGCGAGAUAUAAUUUACUUGCUCCUAAUUAAGUGUUAUAUACAUCUAUGAGUAUAUGUGUGUCGCUGCCUGGCGUGUGUGCUGCGUGUGACAGUAGUCUACUGAAAAUUGAUAUCUGUAUAAACUGCUACUGCUACUGUCUAGAUAGAAUUUAGAUGAUGAUAAGUAUGUAAACUGAAUCGGCCCAGCCGGUGUGGGCACUCACAGCCCGUCUGCCAGUGCCUGUCAUGACCAGCUACAGCCAGGUGAUUUUUUCACACACUAAUGAUAUGCUAAUGGUUCUGGAAACGAGUAGUACGUCCACAGGAUGUAGAUGGUACUAUAGAUGUGUGUGUGUGUCCCACUGCUACUAGUGUUGCUGACAGUGAACUAGAUGAUGUAAGUUUCUAUUGCAAUUGAUUGGUAAAGUGAGCUGAGAUUAGGUAAUGCUAGCACUUGAAUGUUCCUUGUACCAUUUAUUUUAUUUUAUGCUAUUCUGGAAGACACAUAUUGGGUGGCUCCUAUGAUUCCACUUACAAACUGUAUAUCUUGUUUUGUGCAGUAACAAUGGAAUGCCAAAGUGAAGUGAGCAAGGCUCCUUCUUUUGCUAUUUGUGAUGUCCAGUCUGAUGCAGAAUCAGCCGUCCACACUAGGCCAAGUCUGGACAUUGGGUUUACUACACCACAGAAAUCCUAUAGUGCACCUUUCUGUGUAAGUACUUGCGUAACUAAUAUGUACCCCCUCACUACUUUAGUUAUCUAUAAACGAUCUUAUAUCUCUUUACAGAGAGAGUACAUCUUUAUAAUUUCCUGUGUUCCAACAUAGUAAAUCCGUUGUGCUUUUUGUUCAAAUUGUAGGGCUCAUCUUGUACUCCAGAGUGUGAUGAUGCCAUCAGACCAGCCAUUGGGAUGACUUUUGCUGAUUUGAACGCAGCCAAGGAGUUCUAUGAAGCUUAUGCACAUCAUGUUGGGUUUUCAGUACGUGUGGGGCAGCAAAAGAUUGUCAAUGGUGUCAUUACUCACAAGCGUUUCUAUUGUGACCAUGAAGGUUUCCAUGAAGAGCGGAAAGGUAAGGAAACUUUGGUAGCUAGCACUGGUAGUAAGAGGAGAUAUGAGAGGAAAAUCACUAGAUGUGGGUGCGAAGCUAAACUUGCGGUCAAACGCACGGUCGAGAAUAAGUACAUUGUGACACUUUUCGAACAGGAGCACACACACACACUUGUAUCGCCCAGUAAAAAACAAUUCAUCAGAUCAAACAGGAAAGUUAGCCAACAAGCAAAGACUACAUUAUGGAACUGUCAUAAAGCUAGCAUUGGCACAUCCCUAGCAUACAGGNNNNNNNNNNNNNNNNNNNNNNNNNNNNNNNNNNNNNNNNNNNNNNNNNNNNNNNNNNNNNNNNNNNNNNNNNNNNNNNNNNNNNNNNNNNNNNNNNNNNNNNNNNNNNNNNNNNNNNNNNNNNNNNNNNNNNNNNNNNNNNNNNNNNNNNNNNNNNNNNNNNNNNNNNNNNNNNNNNNNNNNNNNNNNNNNNNNNNNNNACAAAGAGAGACUUGCAAAAUCACCACCGAAACAUUAGGUGCCUCAUCAAGUCAUCAGAUGCUCAAAUGUUUGUUGACCAGCUUGCUAGAAAACAUCUUGCAAAUUCAGGAUUUUAUUUUGACUAUGUUCUUGAUGAUAAGGGUAGACUGGUACAUGUGUUCUGGGCGGAUGCCACAUGUAGGAAAAAUUAUGCUCUAUUUGGAGAGCUUGUGUCCUUUGACUCCACGUAUAGCACCAAUCAAUAUAACAUGAUAUUCACCCCCUUUACUGGAAUCAAUCACCACAAGGCAAGUGUUUGUUUUGGUGCUGCAAUGUUACACGAUGAGAAGGCAGAUUCUUACAAGUGGUUGUUUCGCACAUUCUUGAAAGCUAUGGGAGGGGCUGCACCUAGGUUUAUAAUAACUGACAAAUGUAGUAGCAUGGACAAUGUAAUAAGGGAAGUUUUCCCAGCAGCCACACAUAGGCUAUGCAUGUGGCAUAUUAUGAAUAAGAUCCCGCAAAAGGUUGGCCCUGAUAUGAAGACCAAUGAGGAUUUCCAUGAACGAUUAGGUCGGUGCGUGUGGUCUUCUGAAACUCCUACUGAAUUUGAGGAACGAUGGAAAGAAAUUAUGUCAGAGUAUGGGUUGGAAGAUGAUGAAUGGUUCAGUAAAAGGUUCAGCCUUCGAGAAUCAUGGAUACCAGCUUAUUUCAAAGAAAUAGCUUUGUCAGGGCUUAUGCGGACCACUUCUGUAACAUCCCAAAUUUUCAAUUUAAAUGUUAUACACUAGAUCAUCAUGCAUAUCAUAUUUCUUGCAUUUUGUCGAUCCUAGAAAUUUCACGCAACUCAAGGACCCUCGGAGAGAGUUGGAGAUUUCGUUAUUUUCAUAUUUGAGUUCUCUCAAACUUUGAAAAGAGGAUCACUGGUUUUGUCGGAGUUUAUUGCCUUUUAUUUGGAUUAGGGAGAAAUGCGUGUUUUCAAAAUUUGCAUUUUAGGCCCGGAGAAAAGUUCAUUUUGUUCGACUUAUUUUUAGGAGUCGGGGAAAAUUUACUUUAGAAGUUUUGGAGUUCGUUUAGUUCUCUUUUCUUUUGUUUUUCUGCGUGCGUAACCGAUUUAAAAAAAGAUUUUUUUUCAGCACCUUGGGCCAAGGCCCAGCCAGCAGGCCGGCCGGCCAGGCCGCCGCGCCGCGCCUAGCGCGCCAGCAGGCAGGGAGCCGCCGCCGCAUAGGAGUCCUAGUUGGACUCCGUUUGCCUUUUUUUUUCAAAUCUCCCUUUCCUUCUCUUUUUCCUUCUCUUUUUCUUGCCCCCUCCCCCAAGCAAACCCCCUCCCCUCACCAAUAUAAAUACCCCACACCCCCCCUCUAAACAUCACAUCAAACCAAGCCCCAAGCCGCAGCCGCGCCGCGCCCUCACCCUAGCGCCGCCGCCCUGCGUCACCGCCGCCGCCGCCCCCUUGCCCACGCCGCCGUUGCCCAACGCCGCCGCCGCCGGAGCCCCGUUCGCCGUAGACCUCGCCGGAGGUAGCCCCGCACCGCGUCUCUAUUUCUUUUCCUCGGUUCGGUUUUCUUAUAAACCAUUCCGAUUCUUUUCUUCUCUUCCGAUUCGUUUUCUUUCCGGUUCUUCUCUAAACCGUUCCGGUUUUCUAGAUCGGUUUUCGUUUUGGUUUUCUUUUCCGAAACCCUAGAACGGAUUCGUUUUCUUUUCCGAUUUAGUUGCCUAGAGACCGUUCGCCGGACCGUUCGUUCUAACGAACGUGAUCACCGGAAUCUUCUAGGUUAACGAACGUCCGUUCGUUCAACCGUUCUUCUUUUCUUCUCGUCGGAUUUAUUCCGCGAUCGCGAUCUCAGAUCCGAUCUUCUUUCUAGUUUAUCUUCUCGCUCGUUUAUCGGAAUCAGGUGAUUCAAGCGCCUGGAGUUUCGUUUCGAAACCGCCGUUCCGACUAAUCAACUUAAACUGGCUUUUGCUACGAUAAAAUUUGACCUAGUUUCAACUUGAUAGAACCGCGUUGUUUUCUUCCGCCGUUUGUUUUCGGUUUCUUUGUUCGGUUCUUUCUCUCUUUGCAACCGAAGUUCUUAAGUUGAACUAUCUGGUUCGAUCUUUUGUUCGAGUUUUACCUGUGCAUUAGAUGAGUACUUAUUGUAUGUUUGUUGUUUGUCUGCGAUAGAUUACCCGGAUUACGCUGCUUGUUACUUCGAAUCUCUAGGACUCGCGGAUCAUCAGCAAGGCAAGUAACACUUUGAUCAUACCUUUUCUACAACCCAGUUUUAUUGCAUUAGAUCCAUCCUCACACAUUGCAUGAUUAGGAUCUAAUUAAAUUAUAGGAUGGGAAGUAGAUGAGGUAGUACCUAUUACCUGUUUAUUAUGAAACCUUUGGGAGUUACUUCUACGUUUGCUUAUUAUGCCAUGCUAUGCUAGUAGACGUGGAUUGGGUGAGUGAUAUCCAUGACAGAUGUGAGAUUGAUAAUUUUAAUGGUUUAUCUAAGGUGGCAACUUAAACACACAUCUGGGUGGAUUGAGGCACCUGAUGUCUAUCAGGACUUGCCUGUUUUAUUUUGGACCGCCACCCAGGCUCAAAGGGAUCAUAAGAUCUUUCAUGCUAGAAACUUACGUGUGCAGCCACAAGCCAUUAUGGGCUCUGGCAUAGUUGACUAAGUCGUGCGAACUCUUACAGGGUAGACUAGCAGAUGUAGGGGAAAGUAGGUGUACCGGUCUAUCCAUCGUAAGGUGCUAGCGCUUCUGAAAGACUGUGUCUCGGUCAUCCGUUUCUCAAACCCCGGUAGUGCGAGAAAACCAACGGAGGCGAUCGAGUCUUGUGGGGAAAAGUGCACAAACCUCUGCAGAGUGUAAUAAACUAAUCAUGAUUAGCCGUGUCCCCGGUUAUGGACAUCUUGAGUAUCUAGUACUUGAAUAUCAUGUGAAUCUCAACAUGUUACUUCUAACUAAUAUUGUUGGGUUUUAAUUAUUUUUAGUUGGGAUUGAGAAUGCUGUCAACUAUUCUUAAUGUUUAACAACCACCAUGAUAGUUAAAUAAAUUUAUUCCUUUGCAGUAGGGAAAAACUGGCUUUACGCAAAACAGUAACCAUAGAGCUUUCCACCAGCCAAAUAUGCAUAUAGUAUAGCUGUUUCAUUCCAUUACUCUUUAUGUGUUACCUUGCCAGCAUAUUCCAUGUGCUGACCCAUUUUCGGGCUGCAACGUUAAUGUUGCAGACUUUUCAGACGACAAUUAAGGUGCUUUUAGGUCGUGAUUCUAUACUCAGUGAUGCCGUUGGAGUUGAUGGACCCAUUUAUCUUCCAAGUCUUCCGCUGUUAUCGAUAUUAGAUGGCCUUAAGCCAUAUUAUUGUAAUAAGUUCUCUUUUGAGACACCGAUGUAAUAAGUGUGUGAUUGCCACUCUGCUAUAAAUCCUUCGAAGUACUGUGUGGUGUCAGCAUUACUGAUCCAGGGAUGACACCGGAGCACACUAGACUUGAUCCAUUCGUGUCGGGUCGCUACAGAGAUGGUAUCAGAGCAUACGCUGACUAUAGGACACGAUCACUAAGUUAAAGCCAUAGAUCACUAUUCUCUCCUCAUUUUCUAACUCCUCAUCUUUUCUACUCUUUAGGAUGAAGGACGCAAAGAUUAAGUACGCUCAACCGGAUGAAGGCACACCUUUUGGAUUUCACUUGAAGGAAGUCACCAAGUACCUAAACAUUGGAUUACCAAGUUUCACGGAAACUUUCAACGCCACUUUGCCUGAAGAGGAGCGCUGAAAGAUUCAAGCUCACGUUCCGGGAAGGACCUUCGCGCCAAUCACGAAGCCCAUAGAUAGUGUUUUCAAUGCACCAACCUGGAGUUUAGGAAGGAGCAUGGCAGCCCAUAUCACCAUAGGACGCAUUGGAGAAGUUUAUCAAGAAGACCUCAAGGACACUAUCUACCAGAUUUGCGGACGCCGAGAUGAACAAUGGGAGUUAGUCACCACCAAGAAGGAUAGAUCCAUUGCAGCAUUCAUCCAGGAGUUAAACCAGCACAUUAGACGCCACGAGAACCAAAUGUGCAAUGAUAUGAUAGAGUUGAAGAAUGCGAAGACUAGGAUCAUCGAGCUAGAAGGAGAACUGAAGGCUACACGCAAGGACUACAUGGACGAGAUCGUAGCUCUAGCAAGACACAAUGUCGAUCUUAAGCAGGAGAUUGAAGAACUCAAGAGGGAGUUAGCAUCCAGGAAGGAAGACAUGUACGUCGCAUGUCCGGACAACUACAUCGACGACACCGAUUCAGAUCCAAGUGAACCCGACUUUGAAGACGAAGCUGGAACGGAUAUCAUGGAGUCUUCCACCGGUUCAAAUUUCUAGAUGACCACCAAAUAUUAGUAGUAUUUCCCCCAUGUAAACACUAUAGUUCGAGCACUUUUGCGAUAGCUAGAUCGAUUGUAAGUCCUUGUUUGAUUGAAUGAAGUGAUUUUGUGUGAAUUUGCUCAUGUGCAUUGGGGUAGUGUUUUCUCUUUAGACUUCUCUCUAUUCUUAUAUCUCAUCUUUUCUAAACCCUCAGAUGCCUCCGAGACAUGACCCCGGGUUACCAUUAAGGAUUGGUAACUAUGUUAUUCCCUCAGACCUAAUAGUAUUGGAAUCUCAAGGAUUAGAUGUAAUUCUAGGUAUGGAUUGGCUGUCGAUGUAUGGAGGAAACAUCGAUUGUGCCAGUAAGACAAUUUUGCUCACAACGCCAGAAGAAAGAAGGAUCAAGUAUGUAUCCCGGCAUGUGCCAAAUAGGACACAAGUAAAUUGCCUAACAGGAGUAGUGCAGGAGGAAGUACCAGUGGUAAAGGAUUUUCCGGAUGUAUUUCCGGAAGAGUUGCCAGGCAUGCCACCGGAUAGAGACAUCGAGUUUUUGAUUGAGUUAUUGCCAGGUACAGGCCCAAUAUCAAAGAGACCAUACCGGAUGCCAGCAAAGGAUUUGGUAGAAAUUAAGAAUCGGAUUAAGGAGUUACUGGAGAAAGGUUACAUUCGCCCAAGUUCUUCGCCUUGGGGAUCACCCGUACUUCUAGUGGAGAAGAAGGAUGGAUCAUUAAGGAUGGUUGUUGAUUACCGUGGAUUGAAUGAAGUAACCAUCAAGAACAAGUACCCACUACCAAUGAUCAAUGAUCUGUUUGAUCGUUUGCAAGGAGCUAAGGUGUUUUCCAAGAUCGAUUUGCGAUCAGGGUGCCACCAAUUGAAGAUUCGAGAGCAGGACAUACCUAAGACAGCAUUCACCACAAGAUAUGGACUGUAUGAGUAUACCGUUAUGCCAUUUGGAUUGACUAACGCGCCUGCCUAUUUUAUGAACCUGAUGAACAAAGUGUUUAUGGAGUUUUUGGAUAAGUUCGUCGUAGCGUUCAUUGAUGAUAUCCUGGUUUAUUCAAAGAAUGAAGAAGAGCAUAAGGAACAUUUGCGUUUGGUUUUGGAGAAACUAAGGGAACAUCAGUUAUACGCCAAAUUUAGCAAAUGUGAGUUUUGGUUGAAGGAAGUAGGAUUCCUCGGACAUGUUAUAUCCGGAGAAGGGAUAGCAGUUGACCCCGCAAAGGUUGAGACCGUAACCGAAUGGGAAGCACCAACGACAGUUGGAGAGAUCCGGAGUUUUCUUGGACUCGCAGGAUACUACCGGAGAUUUAUUGAGGAUUUUUCAAAGAUUGCAAAGCCUAUGACGGAGUUGUUGAAGAAGGAUACUACGUUCAAUUGGACUGAGGAGUGUGAGGCUAGUUUCCAGGAGUUGAAGAAACGUUUGGUUACCUCACCAGUGUUGAUUUUGCCAGAUCAGACCAAGGAUUAUGAGGUGUAUUGCGACGCUUCACGUCGAGGACUUGGAGCAGUACUUAUGCAGGAAGGGAGAGUUGUUUCAUAUGCUUCACGACAACUGAAGCCUCACGAAUUGAAUUAUGCCACGCAUGAUUUGGAGUUAGCAGCCGUAGUGCAUGCAUUGAAGACAUGGAGACAUUUCCUCAUUGGAAAUCAUUGUGAUGUGUACACGGAUCACAAGAGUUUGAAGUACAUUUUCACGCAGAAGGAGUUGAAUCUCAGACAAAGGAGAUGGUUGGAGCUCAUCAAGGAUUACGAUAUGAGAUUGCAUUACCAUCCCGGAAAAGCUAAUGUAGUAGCUGACGCAUUGAGCCGCAAGAGCCACGUCAAUACGUUAAUAACGGAAGAAAUGCCCAAGGAGUUAUUAGAAAACCUUCGUGAACUAAGUUUAGAGAUAGUUCCGAAAUGCCAUGUGGCAGCAUUGGAGAUUCAGUCAACAUUGAUGGAUAAAAUCAGAGAAGCUUAGAAAUCUGACAAGGAAAUUGCUUCUAUAAAGGAGAAACUAAGCAAAGGAAAAGCAAAGGGAUUUCGUGAGGAUGAGCACGAUACCCUAUGGUUUGAGGACCGUGUUUAUGUGCCAAAUGACCCGGAGAUCAGGAAGUUGAUUUUAAAAGAGGCACAUGAUUCACCAUAUUCGAUUCACCCAGGAAAUACCAAGAUGUAUUUGGAUUUGAAGGAAACAUUCUGGUGGACCAGAAUGAAGAAGGAUAUUGCAGCAUAUGUAGCAGUUUAUGACGUAUGUCAUAGAGUAAAGGCAGAACAUCAGAAGCCAGCCGGAUUGUUGCAACCAUUGCCGAUACCCGAAUGGAAGUGGGAUAAGAUAGGCAUGGAUUUUAUCACAGGACUACCCAAGACGAAAGCAGGAUAUGACUCGAUAUGGGUAGUAGUUGAUCGUUUGACGAAGGUAGCACAUUUCAUUCCAGUUAAGACCACUUACACCAGUGCUAAGUUGGCAAAGAUAUACAUGACUAGGAUCAUUUGUUUGCAUGGAGUUCCAAGGAGUAUUGUAUCAGACAGAGGAAUCCAAUUUACCUCAAAGUUUUGGAAUCAGUUGCAUGAAACUUUGGGAACCAGGCUAGAGUUCAGCACCGCUUUUCAUCCGCAGACAGAUGAACAGACCGAGAGAGUCAAUCAGAUUUUGGAAGAUAUGCUGAGAGCUUGUGCACUAGAUUAUGGAUCUAGUUGGGACGAUAACUUGCCGUAUGCGGAAUUUUCUUAUAACAACAGUUACCAAAUCAGUUUGAAGAUGGCACCUUUCGAAGCUUUGUACGGAAGGAGGUGCAGGACACCGUUGUCAUGGGACGAAGUUGGAGACCGUCAAUUCUUUGGACCAGAUUUGAUUAAGGAGUCUGAACGGAAAGUUAAGUUGAUUCGCGAUAGGCUCAAGGUAGCCCAGUCCAGGCAGAAGAGCUACGCAGAUUCAAAAUGCAAGGAGACAGUUUACGAAACCGGAGACAGGGUGUAUCUCCGAGUAUCCCCACUUCGAGGAGUUAAACGCUUUGGAGUUAAGGGAAAAUUAGCACCACGUUUCGUUGGACCAUAUAAGAUCUUGCAACGUAUGGGAGAAGUCGCUUAUAAGUUGGAAUUAUCAGAGGGACUGUCAGGAGUUCAUGACGUAUUCCAUGUUUCUCAGCUGAAGAAAUGUCAUGCCGAGAUGGCGGAAGUACCGUUAAGAGAUACAGUGCCGCUUGAAGCGAUUCAGUUAAAGGACGACUUAACGUAUGAGGAGAAACCAGUCAAGAUUCUCGAGUUUGCCAGUAGAGUUACCCGCAGCAAGGUCAUCAAGUUUUGCAAAGUUUAGUGGAACCACCACUCAGAGGAUGAAGCCACCUGGGAGAGAGAAGAAGAUUUGCUCAAGGACCACCCUCACCUAUUUUCUAGCCAACCCGAAUCUCGAGGGCGAGAUUCAUCUUAAGGGGGGUAGGUUUGUAACAUCCCAAAUUUUCAAUUUGGAAUGUUAUACACUAGAUCAUCAUGCAUAUCAUAUUUCUUGCAUUUUGUCGAUCCUAGAAAUUUCACGCAACUCAAGGACCCUCGGAGAGAGUUGGAGAUUUCAUUAUUUUCAUAUUUGAGUUCUCUCAAACUUUGAAAAGAGGAUCAUUGGUUUUGUCGGAGUUUAUUGCCUUUUAUUUGGAUUAGGGAAAAAUGCUUGUUUUCAAAAUUUGCAUUUUAGGCCCGGAGAAAAGUUCAUUUUGUUCGACUCAUUUUUAGGAGUCGGGAAAAUUUACUUUAAAAGUUUUGGAGUUCGUUUAGUUCUCUUUUCUUUUUUUUCUGCGCGCGUAACCGAUUAAAAAAAGAUUUUUUUUUCCCGGCGCCUUGGGCCAAGGCCCAGCCAGCAGGCCGGCCGGCCAGGCCGCCGCGCCGCGCCUAGCGCGCCAGCAGGCAGGGAGCCGCCGCCGCCUAGGAGUCCUAGUUGGACUCCGUUUGCCUUUUUUUUCAAAUCUCCCUCUCCUUCUCUUUUUCCUUCUCUUUUUCUUGCCCCCUCCCCCAAGCAAACCCCCUUCCCUCACCAAUAUAAAUACCCCACACCCCCCUCUAAACAUCACAUCAAACCAAGCCCCAAGCCGCAGCCGCGCCGCGCCCUCACCCUAGCGCCGCCGCCGCCCCCUUGCCCACGCCGCCGUUGCCCAACGCCGCCGCCGCCGGAGCCCUGUUCGCCGGAGACCUCGCCGGAGGUAGCCCCGCGCCGUGUCUCUUUUUCUUUUCCUCGGUUCGGUUUUCUUAUAAACCGUUCCGAUUCUUUUCUUCUCUUCCGAUUCGUUUUCUUUCCGGUUCUUCUCUAAACCGUUCCGGUUUUCUAGAUCGGUUUUUCGUUUUGGUUUUGUUUUCCGAAACCCUAGAUCGGAUUCGUUUUCUUUUCCGAUUUAGUUGCCUAGAGACCGUUCGCCGGACCGUUCGUUCUAACGAACGUGAUCACCUGAUUCUUCUAGGUUAACGAACGUCCGUUCGUUCAACCGUUCUUCUUUUCUUCUCGUCGGAUUUAUUCCGCGAUCGCGAUCUCAGAUCGGAUCUUCUUUCUAGUUUAUCUUCUCGCUCGUUUAUCGGAAUUAGGUGAUUCAAGCGCCUGGAGUUUCGUUUCGAAACCGCCGUUCCGACUAAUCAACUUAAACCGGCUUUUGCUACGGUAAAAUUUGACCUAGUUUCAACUUGAUAGAACCGCGUUGUUUUCUUUCGCCGUUUGUUUGCGGUUUCUUUGUUCGGUUCUUUCUCUCUUUGCAACCGGAGUUCUUAAGUUGAACUAUCUGGUUCGAUCUUUUGUUCGAGUUUUACCUGUGCAUUAGAUGAGUACUUAUUGUAUGUGUGUUGUUUGUCUGCGAUAGAUUACCCGGAUUGCGCCGCUUGUUACUUCGAAUCUCUAGGACUCGCGGAUCAUCAGCAAGGCAAGUAACACUUUGAUCAUACCUUUUCUACAACCCAGUUUUAUUGCAUUAGAUCCAUCCUCACACAUUGCAUGAUUAGGAUCUAAUUAAAUUAUGGGAUGGGAAGUAGAUGAGGUAGUACCUAUUACCUGUUUAUUAUGAAACCUUUGGGAGUUAUUUCUAUGUUUGCUUAUUAUGCCAUGCUAUGCUAGUAGACGUGGAUUGGGUGAGUGAUAUCCAUGACAGAUGUGAGAUUGAUAAUUUUAAUGGUUUAUCUAAGGUGGCAACUUAAACACACAUCUGGGUGGAUUGAGGCACCUGAUGUCUAUCAGGACUUGCCUGUUUUAUUUUGGACCGCCACCCAGGCUCAAAGGGAUCAUAAGAUCUUUCAUGCUAGAAACUUACGUGUGCAGCCUCAAGCCAUUAUGGGCUCUGGCAUAGUUGACUAAGUCGUGCGAACUUUUACAGGGUAGACUAGCAGAUGUAGGGGAAAGUAGGUGUACUGGUCUAUCCAUCGUAAGGUGCCAGCGCUUCUGAAAGACUGUGUCUCGGUCAUCCGUUUCUCAAACCCCGGUAGUGCGAGAAAACCAACGGAGGCGAUCGAGUCUUGUGGGGAAAAGUGCGCAAACCUCUGCAGAGUGUAAUAAACUAAUCAUGAUUAGCCGUGUCCCCGGUUAUGGACAUGUUGAGUAUCUAGUACUUGAAUAUCAUGUGAAUCUCAACAUGUUACUUCUAACUAAUAUUGUUGGGUUUUAAUUAUUUUUAAUUGGGAUUGAGAAUGUUGCCAACCAUUCUCAAUGUUUAACAACUAUCAUGAUAGUUAAAUAAAUUUAUUUCUUUGCAGUAGGGAAAAACUGGCUUUACGCAAAACAGUAAUCAUAGAGCUUUCCACUAGCCAAAUAUGCAUAUAGUAUAGCUGUUUCAUUCCAUUACUCUCUAUGUGUUACCUUGCCAGCAUAUUCCAUGUGCUGGCCCGUUUUCGGGCUGCAACGUUAAUGUUGCAGACUUUUCAAACGACGAUUAAGGUGCUUUUAGGUCGUGGUUCUAUACUCAGUGAUGCCGUUGGAGUUGAUGGACCCAUUUAUCUUCCAAGUCUUCCGCUGUUAUCGAUAUUAGAUGGCCUUAAGCCAUAUUAUUGUAAUAAGUUCUCUUUUGAGACACCGAUGUAAUAAGUGCGUGAUUGCCACUCUGCUAUAAAUCCUUCGAAGUACUGUGUGGUGUCAGCAUUACUGAUCCAGGGAUGACACCGGAGCACAGUAGACUUGAUCCAUUCGGGUCGGGUCGCUACAACUUCAAGGUUGUAAGUGCAUCUAGUGCCACCCCUAGUUGGUUUUGGAGUAUUGACGACAAACUUAGUUGAGGGACUAAUGUGUUUGUGAGAAUUGUAGGAUAACACAGGUAGAAGUCCCUCAUUGAUUCGGUUUAGCUACCAGAGAUGACCCCCAAAAAUGUACGAAGACAUUGAAGACAAUGGUGGUUCAUGAAGACAUUCAUGUCGAAGACAAUGACAUAUGAAGACUCCCCAUGAAGCCUUUGGAACUCGAAGACUUAGAUCCUUCGUAGUUUUACUUAUUCAUGUUGUGUCAUAGGAACCACCGUACUGUUAAGUGGGGUCCAAGAGAACCAGUCAGGAUGACUGAAGUGAUGCCUAACUCAAAUCCUAUGUCUUCGAGUGAAGACAAUGAGAGAAAAUCUUGUCCAGAGUCAGACAAUCAGCUUUACUUGCAGCCCAAGUAAAGUUGCCGUGAGAGUUCAAAAUCCGACCGUUAGUACACGUGUCAGUUCCUUAGUGACCCAGGGUCAUUUCGUACAAAUCAGGUCAGGGUUGCCAAGUGGCUAUAAAUAGUCCACCCCCACAACCAUAAACGGUUGGCUGCUCAGAUUUCAGUGCACGGCUUUUGUCGUUUGAGAGCAACCCACCUCGAAGCCUUUGAGAGAAAAUCCUUAGUGAGGAGAAAAGCCCUAACCACCCAGAGCCAGAGUAAUUGGGCAUCACUUAAGUCUUCUUGUCUGAGUGAUCUGAAGACUUAUUACACUUGAGGACUGUGCAUCCUCCAGACGGUUAGGCGUCGCGUUCUGAGCAUCCAAGAGGAAUUGUGGAUUGCCGGUGAACGAAGUCUGUGAAGGUUUGGGAGUCUACCUUGAAGACUUACCAGAGUGAUUGGGCGGGGUCUGUGUGACCUUAGCUCAAGGAGAAAACGGUGAGGACUGGGUGUCCUGAGCUGCGUGUUCAGGACUGGGUGUCCGGGACUGUGUGUCCUUUGGUUUAAAUACCUAGCCGCUCCAACCAGACGUACAGUUGUCACAGCAACUGGAACUGGUCCAACACAUCAUUGUCUUCAACGUGUCACUGGUUUCAUCUUCAACUCCCUUUACUUACCAGUACACAUUGUGAAGCUAUUGCAUGCCUACUUAAUCUUCUGUCUUCACAACCUGACUGUAUGAUCUGUUUGUCUUCAUAACUUCUUCCAACCUGAUCCUCAUUACACUGAAGCUAUUUGUCUCUGUGCUUUCACUGUACUGUAUAUUUGACUAUGGCUUGCGUUGUGUAAUCUACCUUCCGCUGCAUAGUGAUAGGCUUAUUCACUCUGUUUGUCUUCAUAACUUCCACGUUUUGACGACUUUCUUAAAAUCGCCUAUUCACCCCCCCUCUAGUCGAUAUAACGCACUUUCAAUUGGUAUCAGAGCAAGGUGCUCCCUUGUUCUGUGUGAUUCGGUUUAACCACCUGGAGUUUUAGCUAUGUCGACUGCAGGGAUAAUUAAAGUCUCCACUGCGUGCCCCGUCUUCGAUGGAACUGAAUAUCCCUACUGGAAGAAUAAGAUGCGCAUGCAUCUUGAAGCCAUUGACGUCGACCUAUGGUAUGUCGUCGAAAACGGCGUUCCCAAGGCUGGAGAAGGUGUCACUGCGGCUGAUGUCAAGAAGUUCACUCAACUGGACUCCACUGCCAAGAAUAUUAUCUGUGGUCAUCUGACCAAGGGACAGUACGGCCGUGUGAGUGCCUUGAAGACAUCCAAGCUGGUCUGGGACUGGCUCUCCAAGGUCAAUGAAGGCAUCUCAACCCAGAGAGAUCAGAGAAUCAGUGUUCUUCGCAAUCUCUUCAACCGCUUCAAGCGAAAUGACAAUGAGAAUGUCCAACACACAUUUGACCGGCUCACUGACAUCACAAAUGAGCUUCAAGCCCUCGGCGCCACUGAGAUCACCAAACAUGAAAUCGUCAAGACGCUGCUAAGAUCACUUGACAGUUCAUUUGACAUCCUAGCCCUGAUGAUUCAAGAACGUCCAGACUUCAAGACACUCGAUCCGUCUGACAUACUUGAGAGGCUCAACACACAUGAGUUUCAGCUUUCUGAGAAAAGAGAUAUCUACGGUCCAAACUAUGGGCGAACUCGUGCCUUGAAGGCAAAAGCUGUGUCAUCAUCUGAAGAGGAAUCUGACAGCAGUUCUGAUGAUCCUGAAGACAUUGGAAGGGAACUUGCAAUGCUAGUGAAGAAGUUCCAGAAAUUCACCAAGAAGAAAGGCUUCAGAAAGUCUUCACGAUCAAGCUCAAGGAAUGAUGAAGCUUCUGCGCAUGACUACAAGAGGAAAACUUGUCACAAAUGCAAGAAAACUGGACACUUCAUCUCUGAAUGCCCACAGUGGGACAAUGAGAACAGAAAGAAGAAGAAGAGCAAGGAAUAUGACUCUGACGAUAAGAAGACGAAGAAAUACUCAAAGUCUUCGUCCAAGUCUUCCUCAAAGUCUUCAUCACACAAGAAGAGUUCAUCUGGCAAGGCUCGUGCGUUUGUUGGCAAGGAAAUGGAUUCAGAGGAGGAGUCCGCUUCUGAGGAGGCAGAGGUGGAGUCUGAGGAGGAGUCUGAUUCAGGCAUUGCAAGUUUGGCUACAGCCUAUGUCGCCAAGUCCAUCUUCAACACUGAAGACAAUGACUCCAUCACCAUCACCGAUGCAAAUGAAAAGGACGACUCUACUCCCACCUACUGCUUCAUGGCACGUGGUGCCAAGGUAAACACGCGCACUACUCACUAUCGAACAUCUAGUGACGAUGACUCUGAUUGUGAUUCAAAACCCAGUUACAAAACGCUUGCUAAAAUUGCAACUGAACAACAAAAGACCAUGGAACAUAUUCAAAAACUGUUAGACAGGAGCGAUGAUCUGUUGGGUGCUGAAAUGACUCGUUCUGAAUCCUUAAUUGAAGACAUAAAAAAUCUUCAUGUUAAGUAUCAGGAACUCGAAGAUCGUCUUGAGACUCUCUCAACUACUCAUGAAAAGCUUUCCUAUGAUUAUCUUCAGAAGAAGCAAGAUCUUGAGAAGUUGAGAGCGGAUCAUGAAGAUCUUCAAAAGGAAAACGAGUCACUUCGAGCCGAACAGAUCAGUUCUGCUCAGGAAGGAUUUGAACCACCAUGCCUUAAAUGCAUUGAGCGUGAUAAUGCUAUUUCUGUUGCUGAAUGUUCCACUGCUACUGCUGUUGCAAUAUCUUCAACUGUUGAAGUGGUAACUAACCCCUCUGCUGAGGAUACCACUGCUAUUGCUGAUGAAAAUGCUAGGUUGAAGACAUUGCUUGAAACAGGGAUGUAUAAAAGUCUCAAAGGACAUCAGACACUAUGUGAUGUCCUCAAGAAGCAGAUUCUGAACCGAAACCCUAGCAAAGAGGGUGUUGGGUUCGUGAGGAAAAUUAAUGCAGAUGGCUCUUACUGGAAACCUGAGCAGUACCCCAAAACCACAUGGGUUGCUGCAAAGGACUCCUUAUCAGAUCCAUCCAAUCUAUCUGGCUUCACUUGUGCUAAUUCAAUUAUCAUUGAUGAAUCCUUUGAUGCAAAUUAUAACCUGUUUAGGAAUCAGAAUGGUGAAGUAUUUGCCAGGUACAUUGGUACUAACUGCAGGAAUGGACCGCCCAUGAAGAAGAUCUGGGUUCCAAAAACGUGUCUUGAGAAUCUUCCUGUGAAUGUCCCCAUGACACCUCACAUGAAGAAGACAAACCUCAGACCAAAGACUUCAUAUGGUCCAAAGGCUUCAUACAGGCAGAGGACUCAUCUGAGCUGCACUAACGCAAAUGUUUUGUAGGGAAACCAUGCUCAGUCUUAUGAGAACGGUUCUUCAAACCGUCAUUCUCAUAUGACCAAAAACUAUUCUGCCUAUUCUUAUGAGUAUUACUGCCCACCUGCUAGAUUGUUUGCUAGGGCUCCAAAGCCAAAAUUCUCAGAUGCUGCACUUAGACUUAUUGCUUCUAAGCCACCCUUGAAGAUGUGGGUGGUUAAGAAAGCUUAACUCUCUUUUGCAGGGAAAGGUCUCCAGCACAAAACCAAAAUCUUCUGAUGCUAUUGCUGGGGACCUCAAAAAACUCGUGGGGUGCACGAUCAAAUGCCCGAAUGGCAUCACUAUGUAUUUCAUAUCUGAAUCGCAUGCUACUCUCCCUGCUUGUUCUAACCUGGAUCUCAGUUUUCAUAAUCCACUGGUUCGUCAAAUAUUUUUGCUUCACAACACUCUUGGUGAAGCCUAUCCCCCUAACUACACUGUAGGGUACGACACCAGUGACUUCAGAGUCUUCAGUAUGGAUUAUUGACAGCGGGUGUACAAAUCACAUGACUGGCAAGAGAAGUCUCUUUAUGGACUCAACCUUACGUCCAUCUGACAAGAGCCACAUCACAUUCGCUGACACUGGUAAAAGUAAAGUACUGGGUCUAGGUAGAGUUGCAAUCUCAAAGGAUCAACACAUGGAUAAAGUCAUGUUUGUUGAAUCCCUUGGCUUCAACUUAAUGUCUGUCUCAAUGCUUUGCGAUUUAAACAUGAUUGUAAUCUUUGGAAAAUAUCAUUGUCUGGUACUAAUGGAAUCUGACAAGUCUCUAGUGUUUGAAGGGUAUCGAAAAGAUGACUUGUACGUGGUAGAUUUCUCAGCAGGGCCACAGCUUGCAGUUUGUCUUCUCGCAAAGGCUUUAGAAUGCUGGCUUUGGCAUCGAAGACUUGGGCAUGCUGGCAUGAGGAACCUCCACACCCUUGCUAAGAAGAAGCAUGUCAUAGGCAUCGAGGGCGUCAAGUUCAAGAAAGAUCACUUAUGCGGUGCCUGUGAAGCUGGGAAGAUGACAAGGGCAAAACAUCCUUCGAAGACAAUCAUGACCACUACUCAACCCUUCGAACUGCUUCACAUGGAUCUCUUCGGUCCUACCCACUACUCAACUUUCUCCACUACUGCUUGCCUCUAUGGCUUUGUCAUUGUUGAUGAUUACUCUAGAUAUACUUGGGUGCACAUAAUCCUUUACAAGACUGAAGUGCAGGAUGUCUUCAGACGCUUCGCAAAUCGGGCAAUGAACAAUUAUGGCGCCAAGAUAAAGCACAUCAGAAGUGACAAUGGCACAGAAUUCAAGAACACCGGCCUUGACACAUAUCUUGAUACAUUGGGCAUCACUCAUGAAUUCUCAGCUCCUUACACGCCACAACAGAAUGGCAUCGUCGAACGCAAGAACAGAACACUCAUUGAGAUGGCCAGAACAAUGUUAGAUGAGUACAAGACACCAAGAAAAUUCUGGACUGAAGCCAUUGACACUGCAUGCCAUACUAUCAACCGUGUAUAUCUUCACAAGCUGCUUAACAAGACAUCUUAUGAACUUCUGACUGGCAAGAAGCCAAAUGUAAGUUACUUCAGAGUAUUUGGAUCAAGAUGCUGGAUCAAGGACCCUCACCACACCGCAAAAUUUGCUCCAAAAGCACAUGAGGGCUUCAUGCUUGGAUAUGGAAAGGAUUCGCACUCCUACAGAGUCUUCAAUCUCUUUCACUACAAAGUGGUUGAAACAGUGGAUGUGCGGUUUGAUGAGACCAAUGGGUCACAAAGAGAGCAACUACCAGAUGUACUAGAUGAAGUUCCAGCCAGUGAAUCAAUCAAGCUAAUGGGAACUGGAGAAAUUAUACCUUCUGAAGCUCGUCCUGAAGAAGAACUUAUCAUCUCAGCACCUGAUCCACAUGAAGACAAUGCUCAGCCUAAAGACAUUCCUCCCCAUGAUAACGUAGAUCAGCAAGAGCAAAGUCUUCGACCCCUACAUCCUCGUGUUGCCAAUGAAGUGCAAAUUGACAGAAUAAUUGAUAGCAUCAAUGCACCUGGUCCACUGACUUGUUCAAAGGCAACUCAACUGGCAAACUUUUGCGGACACUUCGCAUUUGUUUCAAUCACAGAACCCAAGAAAAUUGAUGAAGCCUUUAUGGAACCUGAAUGGAUUCAAGCUAUGCAAGAAGAGCUUCAACAAUUUGAGCUGAACAAUGUAUGGGAGUUAGUUAAGCGUCCUGAUCCACGGAAGCAUAACAUAAUAGGCACCAAAUGGAUAUACCGCAACAAGCAAGAUGAGCAUGGCCAAGUCGUCAGAAACAAGGCUCGUCUCGUUGCUCAAGGAUAUACUCAAGUGGAAGGCAUCGACUUCGACGAAACAUUUGCUCCUGUGGCCAGACUUGAAGCCAUCCGUAUACUGCUGGCCUAUGCAAAUCAUCACAACAUAAUCCUGUAUCAAAUGGAUGUAAAAAGUGCCUUCCUCAAUGGCAAAAUUGAAGAAGAAGUGUAUGUUGCGCAACCACCUGGGUUUGAAGAUCCAAAACAUCCUGACAUGGUGUACAAGCUCAAAAAGGCACUAUAUGGCCUCAAACAAGCCCCUCGGGCCUGGUAUGAUACACUCAAAUACUUCCUGAAGAGCAAAGGCUUCAUACCUGGUUCCCUGGAUCCCACUCUCUUCACAAAGACAUAUGAUGGUGAACUGUUUGUGUGCCAAAUAUACGUGGAUGACAUUAUCUUCGGCUGCACCAAUCAGAAGUACAGUGAGGAGUUCGGAUAUAUGAUGCAAGAGCAAUAUCAGAUGUCUAUGAUGGGGGAGCUGAAAUUCUUCCUCGGUCUUCAGAUAAGGCAACAACGCAAUGGCAUCUUCAUAUCUCAAGAGAAAUAUCUCAAAGACUGCCUGAAGAAGUUCGGUAUGCAAGACUGCAAAGGCUUCACAACACCAAUACCAGCCAAACAUCAUCUGGGUCCUGACGACAAUGGUAAAGAGUUCGAUCAAAAGGUAUACCGCUCCAUGAUUGGUUCUUUGCUUUAUUUAUGUGCAUCUAGGCCAGAUAUUAUGCUUAGUGUUUGCAUGUGUGCUCGGUUUCAAGCGGCACCAAAGGAGUCGCAUCACUUAGCAGUGAAGCAAAUUCUUCGAUAUUUGGCUCACACACCAACUCUAGGGUUAUGGUAUCCAAAGGGCUCAGAGUUUGAUCUGGUUGGAUUUUCGGACGCUGAUUACGCUGGUGACAAGGUUGAUCGGAAGUCCACAUCAGGCACAUGUCAUUUCCUGGGCCGAUCUCUUGUCUGUUGGUCUUCAAAGAAGCAGAACUGUGUAUCUCUCUCCACUGCUGAAUCUGAAUACAUUGCUGCUGGAUCCUGCUGCGCUCAGCUUCUAUGGAUGAAGCAAACCCUCAAGGAUUAUGGCAUUCAUCUGAAGCAAGUGCCACUUUACUGCGACAACGAAAGCGCCAUCAAGAUCGCCAACAACCCAGUUCAGCACUCGAAGACAAAGCACAUUGAAAUUCGUCAUCAUUUUCUCAGAGAUCAUGUUACAAAGGAAGACAUUGAUAUCAUACACGUCAACACUGAAGAGCAAUUGGCAGAUAUCUUCACCAAGCCCUUGGAUGAGAAGAGAUUUUGCAAGUUACGGUGUGAGCUAAAUAUCUUGGAAUCCUCAAAUGUCCUGUGAUCAGGCACACAUCCUAACACUUAUGCAUGAUGAUGACUUAGAUGUGCAACACACAAAGUAACGUAUAUCUUCAAUCAAUGAAGACAUACAUUCUAAGUGUGAAUACAUUAACGUGAAAUUUGACCUCGGAGCGCCACGAUAAUUGUGCGCCGUGUCUGGGUCCAAUACUUCCUAUACGGUGGGUAGCGCCACCACCAAAAAAUUUCUGCUUGAAGUGUUUUACUCAUGGCAUUACAUUUGCUAUGUCUUCACAUUUGGUUUGGCUUCAAUCUCAACAUGUCUUCAUGAUCAUCUUCACUAUGUUGAUUAUAUAUGCACUGGUGUUCUGUCCUCUACAGCAUUCACUUAUAGCUAUGUCUUCUUGUCUGAAUCUUUUGAACUAAGUGAAUGUGAUCGGACCCUAACCUCUCCAUGCUUCCUACCUCAAACUCUAUCUCUCCAAGUCAUAUGCACUCUGUUGAAACUGUCGAAUGUCUUCACUGCAUCCUUGUCAGAAGAAGACACAGAGACAAACUUUAAAACAGCCUUCAAUGUUUUUCCAUCAACUAGAAUUCCGGAGAAGUAGGAACGACUCCCGACAAACCAGGCGUGCGUGGGGUGAAACUGCCCCCACAAUUCCGCAUGCUGGCCACGUACUGAUCAGAUGCGAAUCGCCAGGGGCACCUGAGUAAUAGCGCAGUGCCGCCCAUAUCCCUAUAAGUACACGUUUCACUGCGGUCAUUAUCUCUUCUUCCUCCCUCGCACAAACCCUAGCACCACCGCUAACUCGCAACGACGCCGGCGACGAAGUGCUUCACUGCUGCGACCUCUCCGACGCCGUUCUCACGCCGACAGCGGACAUCAGUCUCUCCGCCGUCGCCCUAAGUGUCUUCCGUCGCCAAGUUAGGGCACGGAGGAUCGAACUGCUCGGCCUCACCUCUCUUCUCGUCUAGCAGUUCCAAGUCUGGUAAAUAACAAGCUUUUUACAGCCUCUUUUGAUCCUAUUGAUCUAUCACUUUCUGCCAAAAGAGGUUUCUAUUCCUUCAAGUUUCAUUCCUCUUGUCUAAAUCUCAUAACUUGCCUAGCAUAUUCACUUGUUCUUCAUGAAGUAGUUAGAUUCCUCACUUGUACUGAUCUAUGGGUUCGUACAAAUCUGGAACCAACUUCUUUUCUAUAAAGUGAAUGUCUUCGCAUGAUGAGGUCAAUGUCUUCUACACUGAUUUAUCUUCAAAAUCUUCUGAGAAUGCAUAUGACCUCUUCCCCUUCCCUCGCACCUUAAUGUUGUCACAGGUACAUGUCCGUGGGAGAAUCUUUUGGUUCUCAUAGUCUGCAUUCAUUUGCAGAGUUCCUACAGCGUCACAUCAAUUCACCCGAAGCAAGUUCCUGUUGGUCAAGCAAAAGGAAGCCUUUGAAGCCUUUGCAUCCUUUGAAGCCUUUGAAUCUUUUGAAGCCUUCCAAGUUAAGCUUCAUGGCAUCCGAGAAACAAUCAAGGAAGGGAGGCAGACAGAGACGGGGUGACACAUCUAAGGAUCUGCCUAAAGAUUUGGCAGAAAUAUACCAAACAGAUCCUGAAGAAAGCUAUGGUCAGCGCAAGACACGAAUCCAAUGGAUUCGCAGGUAUUGGGCAGAGCAGUGGUUCCUAUACCGCUUCGUCACCAAAGAAUAUGCAGAGAAGUGCGCCAUCAAGAGGCCAUGGGGAGAUGCCUUGUACAAGAAUCUAGUACCCCGAACCAAAGACGAAGCCAUUGCUCAAGGCUUCUUUCCAUGCAUGGUCAGGGGACAACAGCCAGCUGAUGCACAUCCAUCAUCCCUUCUCUGGUGUCGUGAUGACACUCUGUUCAAGCGCAACUUCCAAUUUUCCCAGAACUCUGCGAAGCAAAACAAGAAGGAGUUUGGAUUGGACUUCAACCCUGGUCCCUCCAGACCAAGGGCAGAUGGCACACGCGACGCUAAUCCCAAUGUCAUCGGGCCAUUUGCCAAUCUCGACGGCCUCAUCACUCACAUUAUAGUCCAAGGGACUGCCGUGAACGACCCUCCAGCAGACACUGAGUCUGAUGAUGCUCCUACUGCCCCAGAGCCGAAGCAGAUGAAGAAGAAGCCAUAAGCUUCCAAGCCAGUCGCCUCCCCCAAGAUCUCCAAAGCGAAGCCAUUGGCCACUGCACCUCCUGAAGCCAGUGUGCAGUCUGAAGACUUAUCAAGAGUCUCCAAGCCUCAAGAAGCAAAGAAACCACAGCCACAUACCAGCAAAGAGCUAACUGUCGCUGCCGUUCUUCGCUGCGAAGCCAUUGAUCUGUCCAGUGACAAAGAUCUUGGUGAUGACGCUCUUGAGAAGCUCAUCAAGAGCAAGGAGGAGGCUGAAAUCUUCAACAAUCUGCCUCUGUUCGAUGCAAAAAUCAUCCACAACUUCAUAGAUGAGUGGUUUGACACACCCAACAUCAGCUUUGAUGAUCUGCAGCUGCCUAUUGGCCUCAGCGUAGCCUUCCAAGGAGCUAUCGCUUCAGAACUUGCUAUUGCCCAGCGCAUCGUGGAACUGAAGCAAAAGAUAGAUUUUGAAAAGGCUCAGUUUAAGCAGAACAUGGCCACGCUCAGCGUCCAAGAGAUCAAAGACUUCAAAGUCAUGCUGCACGAGCUGAAGGAAAACUUUAUGCAGAAACGUGCAGAGGCUCAGGGUUCACGCGAGCGCAUGAAGAAUUUGGCUGAUCUCUGCGUACAGGCCUACAAUGAGGCCGAGAAGCGAAAGGCACUUGGGCGUCCCGGCAUCGACCCCAGGAUGGCCGCCAAGAAAAAGAAGACGCCCACCGUGGCUGAAGAAGAGGCCCCACGCCAAGAAGCUGUUCCAAUUGUCCUCCCCACCGCCAAGCCUAGCUCGAAGCCAAAGCGCUCACCCGCUUCAGAGCUUAAGAAGACAAGGAUAGCCGAAGCUAAAGCAAGGAAGAGGAAACACUCUGAAGCCUCUUCUUCAGACCCCACCAUCAAAAAGCGCAAGUCCAAGAAGUCUCGGGCUGCUCCCACAGAGCCCUUGAUAGUUGAACCCCUUUCCGUUCGCCGUCCUCAUGAAGAUCAUCAGAUGACCGUCCAUGAGCCUGCUCUCACCGAGGCUCAGCAUGAUGAAGACAUUCCAGCAGCCGACCCCACCGCUGCUGAAGACAUUGGUCUCGAUGAUGCAGUCCUUCCUCAGCUCGAAUCGAGUGAAUUGCUCAGCAUUGGUCGUCCCCUGACGCCAAUCACACAAGAUGCAUCGUGGGCAGAUCGCCCACAGGAGGAAGAGGAUGAGCCCCAGCCCACUGCCACUCCACCGGCGUCGCCUGCAUUCCAUAGGCUUCGCAAAGGACCAAGGGCUCAGACUGCUGACGACAUUCCGGCUGCAUCAGCCGAAGCACAAGCAGAAGAGCAUGAAGAACCUCAAGCUCCAUCUCCCCCACACCAGCAAGAAGAAAUUCUCAAGGAGGCUGACACCACUGCGGCUGCCACACAUAAUACUGAAGCAUUUGUGGAGCCAGACCAACCAACAGCUUCAAGAGAUACUGAAGCAACUGCCUCUGACCCUUCUGUGCCUGUGUCUGCUGCCGGACCACAGUUCAAUUAUCAUAUUGCGCACAGGCCCCAGGUAUAGAAGCCAAUCCCACGCCUGCCAAGGUUCCCAGGACCAGUCACUGCUCCUGGCUCCUUCAAUGUCAAUAGCUUCAUGGCAGACAACACUUUCUUCAACCGCUCCAAGAACCCUUACUCAAGGGAAAAGAUUGUGUCAGAUAGGUUCUGGAGCUACCCACAGCGCAGCUACUACUCCUGCGUCCUCUACAACCAGAGCCGUAUCUUUCCACAUCAGCGCCUUGAAGUUGAAGCUUUUGCUGGUCUGCCUGGUCUGGAAGAAGCCCUGGACUGCUUCAAGCAAGUUGGCCUGCUACCGUUUGCACGGAUGAAGAGCACUGGAACGAAGAGCUUCUGCUUCAGUUCUAUGCCACAUUGCACAUCAAGGGCUACAACAGAGAUCCGAAGACUUGGGUCCUGGAGUGGAUGACUGGCAACAUCCAUCAUGAAGCCAAUGCAUUUGAUAUCAUUGAGCUCACCGGCCUACCCACUCCAGGCGAACACUUCGAAGAAGGCUGCCAACUCCAUACUGAAGCAGUUGAGAGCAUAUUUCAGCGACCUGAGCCGAAUAUGAGUCAGAUGCUCUCAAUGAUGAAGCCAUUGCCUUCUGACGCACCUUACCCAACGGAGUUCUUCGUUGAAGACUUAGAGUACCUGCCUAGAACUAUCUAUCACAUCAUCAGGCGGACUCUAUGGCCCAUUAAGGGGCACUCUCGAUAUGCCAAGGUUGAAGGUGCCAUGAAGACUCUCAUCUUCUGCAUCCUACACGGCAAAUGCUUCAAUGCCCAGGAUCUCUUCAUACGUCAACUUGCUGCGUCUGGCUCAGAUCUCUUUGGUAUGAAGAUUUAUGCUCCAUGGGUUAUGAGGCUAAUCAAGCUCCACUCUGCGAUAUCAUACCAGCCCUCAGCCCGCAACCACAGAAUCUUCUUACCCGAUGUGGACACCUCUGCUGAAGCCAUUUAUCCUGAGCCUGCCAAACAGCCACUAAGUCUUCAGAAUGCAGAACACCAAAGCUUCACUCAACAUGAUAAAGGUGUUGAAGCCAUUUCCAGAGUCUAUCCAAUGGCUGGCACCACACGUGCCCCUGCAUCCACUGAAGCCACUGACAGCGAAGCUGGACAGAGACCCAAGAAACGCGCUCGUACACUCUCUGAUCGUGAACUUCUUGUGGCUCUGCAUCAAAAGCAAGAUAGGCAUCACGACUGGCUCAAGAGGCAGAUGCGCAGUAUCAUGCAAGACGUCAAUCGCAUCAGGAAUCUGGCCACCAAGAACGCCUUCGUCGCACAUGAAACCUGUCGCCGCACUUGGAAGGGCCUCACUAUGAUGUGCACUGAAGCUGAAUUGCAAGAGGAUGGCUUCAAGGAGCGUUUCAAGUUUGACUCCACACCCCCCAGAAGAGCUGUGUUGCGUGGGACUCCGUCACUUGAAGAAUCCGAGUUCUUUUCCUCUGCUGCCACCGUGACGGGGAAAAUCAUUGAGUAAGAAGACGACGCCACAUCACCACCAAUGUCUUCAGCACGCGUCGUCACUGCACCAAGCUCGCCUGCACCACCAAACGUCUCCACCGACCCUGCUGCGCCUGGGAACGCAUAGAAAACUCUAUGUCUUCAAACCUUUUUGGUCAUCACUGACAAAAGGGGGAGAAGCAUAUGAGGUUUAUAGUCUUCAAGCGGGUCAAUAAUAUGGGCGGGUGCUUUAUAUUUUGCAUUUUGCUUCGUGCUUACAACUCUCGUUUUGCUACAUUUGGUUCUUUGAGUUGUAACACUUAAACUUGAUGGUCGUUUGCUACUAUGUUUGCCACUGUGUUCUUGCGAAGAUAAAUUCUGCAUGUACGACGAUAAUUUCCGCACUCUUAUCAUUUCGCAGACGUCCAUUUUUCAUUAUGCAUAUCAUUAUCUUCAUAUAUCUUUACGUGCAUGAUGGAUUGUCAUCAUAAGUUGAAGCGGAUUCCCACAAAUACAACCUGCUGUGUGCAUUUGCAUUCCAGAAGCAAAUCACUUAAUAUGCACAUCUUCAGGGGGAGCCCUUGCAGCUUAUGAAGACAAUUCCUUUACAAUUUCACAAAUUAUAUUCCCCGUUGAAAACUUCAACUAGUUUGUCAUCAAUCACCAAAAAGGGGGAGAUUGUAAGUGCAUCUAGUGCCAUCCCUAGUUGGUUUUGGAGUAUUGACGACAAACCUAGUUGAGGGACUAAUGUGUUUGUGAGAAUUGCAGGAUAACACAGGUAGAAGUCCCUCAUUGAUUCGGUUUAGCUACCAGAGAUGACCCCCAAAAAUGUACGAAGACAUUGAAGACAAUGGUGGUUCAUGAAGACAUUCAUGUCGAAGACAAUGACAUAUGAAGACUCCCCAUGAAGCCUUUGGAACUCGAAGACUUAGAUCCUUCAUAGUUUUACUUAUUCAUGUUGUGUCAUAGGAACCACCGUACUAUUAAGUGGGGUCCAAGAGAACCAGUCAGGAUGACUGAAGUGAUGCCUAACUCAAAUCCUAUGUCUUCGAGUGAAGACAAUGAGAGAAAAUCUUGUCCAGAGUCAGACAAGUCAGCUUUACUUGCAGCCCAAGUAAAGUUGUCGUGAGAGUUCAAAAUCCGACCGUUAGUACACGUGUCAGUUCCUUAGUGACCCAGGGUCAUUUCGGACAAAUCAGGUCAGGGUUGCCAAGUGGCUAUAAAUAGUCCACCCCCACAACCAUAAACGGUUGGCUGCUCAGAUUUCAGUGCACGGCUUUUGUCGUUUGAGAGCAACCCACCUCGAAGCCUUUGAGAGAAAAUCCUUAGUGAGGAGAAAAGCCCUAACCACCCAGAGCCAGAGUAAUUGGGCAUCACUUAAGUCUUCUUGUCUGAGUGAUCUGAAGACUUAUUACACUUGAGGACUGUGCAUCCUCCAGACGGUUAGGCGUCGCGUUCUGAGCAUCCAAGAGGAAUUGUGGAUUCCCGGUGAACGAAGUCUGUGAAGGUUUGGGAGUCUACCUUGAAGACUUACCAGAGUGAUUGGGCGGGGUCUGUGUGACCUUAGCUCAAGGAGAAAACGGUGAGGACUGGGUGUCCUGAGCUGCGUGUUCAGGACUGGGUGUCCGGGACUGUGUGUCCUUUGGUUUAAAUACCUAGCCGCUCCAACCAGACGUACAGUUGUCACAGCAACUGGAACUGGUCCAACACAUCAUUGUCUUCAACGUGUCACUGGUUUCAUCUUCAACUCCCUUUACUUACCAGUACACAUUGUGAAGCUAUUGCAUGCCUACUUAAUCUUCUGUCUUCACAACCUGACUGUAUGAUCUGUUUGUCUUCAUAACUUCUUCCAACCUGAUCCUCAUUACACUGAAGCUAUUUGUCUCUGUGCUUUCACUGUACUGUAUAUUUGACUAUGGCUUGCGUUGUGUAAUCUACCUUCCGCUGCAUAGUGAUAGGCUUAUUCACUCUGUUUGUCUUCAUAACUUCCACGUUUUGAAGACUUUCUUAAAAAUCGCCUAUUCACCCCCCCCCCCCUCUAGUCGAUAUAACGCACUUUCAAAGGUCAUAGAGUGCCAAUUCUUUUUUCUCACGUAUUAUUGGUUACAAACAUGCUUUGGUUGAGUUUUGGCUUAGAUUUGACACGGCUUUGGAAGAACAACGUCAUAAGGAGUUGCAAGAGGACCAUGUGAGCCUACAUACGAUGCCUGUGUUGAAGACAUCGUGGGCGAUUGAAAAGCAUGGCAGCGAGGUGUUCACGCAUGAGAUAUUUCAGGAUUUUCAACAUGAGUUGCUUGCUGAUAGGGAUCGUUGCCUUGUUGAGAUGAUGGCACAUGAUGGUGAGGUUAAAACAGUAACUAUACAUGAUGGCUAUAAGAAACUAAGGGUGGUAACUUACAACACAACAACCAUGGUAGGUUCUUGCACAUGUAAGUUGUUUGAGACACAUGGUAUCCCAUGUCGUCAUCUGAUCCAUGUCCUAAGAACUGCCCAGCUAAAUGAAUUGCCAAAGCAUUAUGUACUCAAAAGGUUUAGAAAGGACUGCAAAACCGAGCCAGUCUUUGACGAGGACGGCAUUCUAUUGGAAGGCAAUGAGAGCAGUUCAAUUGAUCCGGAGAUACAAAAAUUAGCUUCAGAAACAUGUAAGAAGAUGGAAGACCUUUUAGUACAAGCGAAGCAAUCUCAGGUCGGCAUGCAAUUCUUGAGAGAUCACAUUUUUGCACUUGGAGAGCAAUUGUCUACCCAAGUUCCAGCAAAAAAACAAACUCAAACAGAAGAAUUUGAGGAAUUUUUAGGUUGCUCCAUUCCAAGUGAGGUUCAUAUCCAUCCUCCAAAUGAUAUUCGAUCAAGGGGUAGAACCAAAAGACUAAAGGGGUACAGGGAUAAGGGUGGAAAGCAAAGACAGAAAGAGAAGAACAAGAACAAGGACAAGGAAAUGCAACAGACAUGAUUAUGGUACAUUCCUAUGGACUUAGUUUAGAGAAUAGUUCUAAAAUUUUGCUUGCUAAUAAAUACAACACACACUGGUGUAACUAUAUUCAUAGAUUAGUAUUAAAAUUUUGUUUAUAAUUUUUUUUGUAUAUUUCCAUCGAUGUUUCCUACGGCUUGACCAAUUAAACUUUUUUGUUUCAGGUUGCUUGGUGGCCCUACUGACUUCUACAAGUUAUUAGGACUAAAAUUAUUCCAUUGGUGUGUUCUUGGCUAGAGUAAUGGAGCUAUUAGUUCUUGGUGCCAGACUUCUGAAGUUAUAAGCUUACUGGAGCUAUGUGCUCAAUGGCUGAUGUAUAUAAAGGUGUAGAUUUUAAUGACGCGUCUAUUUUGUAAGUGUGUACUGGAGUGAGGCAUUAUCUUGAGUGACUGAAUCAGAUUGAUGUUGCAUAAUCACACCAUGUGCAGCUAUACUGUUUGCCUUACUUAAAUCUAUUCUAGGCAAUGGUCUCAAUUGCUGGAAUGUGCUAUGUCAGGAGUUCUUGAACUGGGCAAUGGUUUGGUUGUGGUUUCGGCAUUGAUCUGGGCAAUGGUUUAAGUUGUUCUAUUGUACUAUUUGUUCUAUUUAAA
rnacentral:lncRNA from 1 species